rnacentral:misc_RNA from 1 species
ACAGCACACUCCUUCAAAGUAUCAAAUAUGCCCUCAAUGCUAUCAUCUUUCAUGCACACAAGAAAGCAGCUACUCAAUUGUGGCUGGGGUGUUCCAGCAUUGAAAAGCGUAGGGGUAGCAUGUGUGAACCAACGCUGAGACAUCAAGUAGUAUGUUUUGACAACGGAGUCAAUGUCAUCUUUGUGGAUACCAACAGCAACCCUCAUCAACAUGUGUUGUGGUCUUUCUACAAUUUUCCCAUUAACCUUCAAAAGGUAGGACCUCUCAAGAGUUUUGAAGCCAAAGUAAUCAUAGUCA